ACAAAUGGAAUUUUAUUUAAUCAAUUAACUUCUUGUGUAAUCAAUUAACUCUAUGAAAAGUGAUUUUCUAAUGCAAGGUAAAACCUUCUAUGCGAUGUAUGCAUAUACAAAGUAUUAUGUCAAAAGAAGUUAUAGUUUUUUUUGCAAUAAAAUCAAUGCAUACUACCUAUUAUGAAUGGAAGAAGGACUUUCAUAUUUUAAUUAUACUUAAUUUUAGCUUUGUGAGAUUCUCAUCCCCGGUUUACCUAACAUAGACUCGAACUAAGCAGUCAUCUUAGAACUCUAAAAACACAAAAUAAUUUCCUAAUUCUAGUUGACCUUGAGUCUUCGGCUUGUUGUUCGUUGAGUUGAAUCAAUCUUCAAGUUUUCCUCAAAUCUUUGUCUUCAUCAAAAGUACUAGAAGAUCAGACUUGAAAACUUUGACUCAUCUUGCAAUAUUAAUCUCUCCAUUUUUAAUGAUGACAAACACCACAUGUUUUGAAGAUUGAUUUGCUUGAUCAACAACUUCCUUUGCCAGAUUGCAAAUUUUGGGCAUUGCUCCCCCUAACUUCAUGAAUGAUGAUAAUGUCGGAAUAUUUUUCUCCUCCAUUGAGUAGAUACGAAAGCAGCAUAACAACCUGCAACACUACA
rnacentral:lncRNA from 1 species